UGUUUCUGUCUGUCUCUUAGUCAUGAACUCAUUAAUACGUAUAUUACCAUCUGUCAGCCCCCCCUCCUUGCUGAGGGAUUUCAAACUGCUGAGCAUGGUUAAAUCCUUAGCCCUUGUCUUGGUGACAGAGAUACCGCAUAACCAAGUCGGCAUUACUGGCUUCAUCAGCUGUUUCUGUUUUCUAUGGCCUAACAAAUAGUAUAGAAACAGAAGCAUGGUCUAAAAGAGAAGCAAAGAAGUUUUGAAUAGAAACGCUGGCAUCUUGUUUUUCUUUAUGUCCUCAAGCUUCUGAAAGUAGCUUACAUUUGGAACUGUAAAAUGGCAAACACUGAAGAAACGAACGACAGCCAUGAUCCGGAGGCUCCGGAGGAAGACCUGGAUGAUGAACAGCAAGCCUUGCUGCAUUUCAGUAAAUAUGGAGAAAAUCAGCGUGCGCAGUCAUGGGAGCAAUGGACCUUCAGAGAAAAGGCAAACUAUUAUAUGGAUCGUAUCUUCCUAGCCUUUUUAAUCAUCUUUGUGAUGAUUUUGCUAAUCGAAUGUUUGUAUAAAAUUUGGUAUGUGUCAAAUGGGAAGAAGAUAGCAGAGUUUGUAUCAGACUCAGUCGUGUUUCUGAUCGACUGCCUUUUCACUCAGGAGAGACAGGAGGAGUUGGCUGAAUUGUAGGAUGUGAAUAAAGGUGUUCACACCAUCCUUUUAAACUUUUGCAUUUCAUGUGAUAUUUAUGUAACAAUGAAAACUGUUACAUAAACAGUUUCUACAGGAACUACACUGCAGUUUAGUUCCUGAAGACUGUAGUUCGUCUACAGGACAUAAUAAAACAAAUACUUUGCAACUUUG